rnacentral:tRNA from 1 species
UGCUUGGGUAGCUCAGUUGGUAGAGCACUUGCCCGCGGAAGGCAAAGGUCCCGAGUUCGAGUCUCGGUCCGGCAU